rnacentral:misc_RNA from 1 species
GAUGAAGAACGCAGCGAAAUGCGAUAAGUAAUGUGAAUUGCAGAAUUCAGUGAAUCAUCGAAUCUUUGAACGCACAUUGCGCCCGCCAGUAUUCUGGCGGGCAUGCCUGUUCGAGCGUCAUUUCAACCAUCAAGCCCCAGGCUUGUGUUGGGGACCUGCGGCUGCCGCAGGCCCUGAAAACCAGUGGCGGGCUCGCUGUCACACCGGGCGUAGUAGAUUUUAUCUCGCUCAGGGCGUGCUGCGGGUCCCGGCCGUUAAAAGCCUUUUUUUACCCAAGGUUGACCUCGGAUCAGGUAGGAAGACCCGCUGAACUUAAGCAUAUCAAUAAGCGGAGG